GUCGUGCUUUACGACUGGCCUCAAAUGCCUGAGUGCACCCUGCUCUUGCGGCGUCUUCAGUGUGAUAAGCAUCUUCACUGGAACAAGCUCCCUUGUGGACACGCUUGCGUUGUGGGCUCUGUGCUUGCAAACCGUCCGCCAUGUGGACAAGACCUUGACAAUUUGACCUCAAAUCGGGUGGGACUACCCGCUGAACUUAA
rnacentral:misc_RNA from 1 species